AACUGUGAUGGCUAUCUGACGAUCUCUGUCACCUGUCGAUUGCCAAGGUUAACGAGGCUAAUCUGAUUGGCCAGGCAGAUGUCCCCUCUCCCCUCCACCACUCUUUGUAUGUCCCUUCCAAAGCUGCUCGCUUGGUGGGAGAGGACAGCCUUCCCCAUACAGAGACGGCCCGUCCUUUGGCCAGGGGUACAGAGUGACCGCUCCCCCUGCUAGAGGUCAGCAAGCUCUCAGUGCGUCUGUCAAUGGGAAGGGCCCUGCACGUGAGACAAGGUAAACACUCCACACAGCAAUGAGGCAAAUCACAUAUGUAAUACUCACCACAU
rnacentral:snRNA from 1 species